rnacentral:tRNA from 1 species
GGUGGCUCAGUGGUGGAGCGCUUGCCUAGCAUGCAUGAGGCCCUGGGUUCCAUCCUCAGUACCA